rnacentral:rRNA from 1 species
AACGAACGCUGGCGGCAGGCUUAACACAUGCAAGUCGAACGCCCCGCAAGGGGAGUGGCAGACGGGUGAGUAACGCGUGGGAACGUGCCCUUCGCUUCGGAAUAGCCCCGGGAAACUGGGAGUAAUACCGGAUACGCCGUAUUGGGAAAGAUUUAUCGGCGAAGGAUCGGCCCGCGUUAGAUUAGCUAGUUGGCGGUGUAAUGGACCACCAAGGCUACGAUCUAUAGCUAGUCUGAGAGGAUGAUCAGCCAUACUGGGACUGAGACACGGCCCAGACUCCUACGGGAGGCAGCAGUGGGGAAUCUUGGACAAUGGGCGCAAGCCUGAUCCAGCCAUGCCGCGUGAGUGAAGAAGGCCUUAGGGUUGUAAAACUCUUUCGCCGGAGAAGAUAAUGACGGUAUCCGGAGAAGAAGCCCCGGCUAACUUCGUGCCAGCCGCCGCUGUAAAAC